AUAAUUAUUAUAGAUCUAAAUAACUCACUUUCUAGAUUAUAGGAACUAAAUAAUAUAUCUACUACAUUAUAGGUACUAAGGGGAUGAUUGGUUGGGGCUGUAGAUGCUCUGGACAGCCAAAAUUUAGUCUACAGCUAUAUAUGUCAACCAAUCGAGCUUUGCUUUCCUCAAAAAACUCACAGCAAAAAAAUCUCUAAAAAAUCAAAAUAUGGCUGUAGAGAGCUUUAUUUCCAGAGCAAAAAAUUAGUGCUUUAGAAAUCUACAGCAAGGAAAGCUACAGUAAAUAAAUCUACAGAUUAAAUUCUACAGCAAAAAUAUAAAGCUACAGCACUUACCAAUCAUCCCCUAAAUAAUUAUCAAUCUUUUCCAAGCUAAAAAUAUGAUCUGAAAACAAUUAAUUCAAUAAAAAUAUAUAUAAUAAAAUUAUUAUGUUUUAAAAAGUGAUAGACACAUCUCAUAUAUAUUAUACUAAUAUAUACCAAUGUAGAAUUAAAAAUAAAAUAUUUCUAUAAAAAUAAAUAAAAAUAAACACUCGCGCGGUUGCGCGGAUCAAGAUCUAUUUAAAAUCUAAAGCUCCAAGAAAAAGAGAGACCAAUUAUUUAUUAUCUCACAUUAUUAGUGGUAUUUUAUACUAAGACCUAUGGAAUAUUUUGCAUGCUAAUGUUAGACCUCUUCAUCGUCAAUUUGGGAUUAUGUUGACAACUUGUCAUGCAUGCGUUUACUGCAUUUAAAGUAAAAUUACAGCCUUACAGCAAAUCCACUUGAUCAUUAUUUUAUACGUUGCUUUCUUUAUGGUUUUAGAUCCUCACAAGAGAACUACUCCAAGUUGCAUGUUUUCAUUUUUCAUUUGUUUAUAUGUGAUGUGCUUUUGACUCUCUCUUUUUUUUUUGUAUGUUAUGCAGCUGUUUGAAUCUUUUUAACGCUCUAUUCAACAAAUUUCAAGCAGAUAUGGCGUUCUUGAUUAAUUUAAAACAGAUGUAACCACCAAACUACUUUAGCAGUUAGGACCGAACCGAAUGUUGUAUUAAGCACGUGUAAUCGUCCCGCCAUUAUUUAGAGCAGUAAACAAACUAAUCAAAUCUAUUGACAGAAAAUGUAAUUGGGUAAAGACCCAUUAGUGUGUGUACCUUCCCGGCCCAUUAAGUUAAUAUAGUUCAAUGGAAACAACCCAAAACAAUUUAAUGGUGCUGUGGAAAUAACUCAAAGUCAAUAAUAUGUUUUGCUUAGAAUAUGAUUAAUAGAGGUUAUUAGAGAGGUUUUUAAUAGAAUAUAAGAAACAUUCUCUUAACUUUUAACUAAAAAACUAAAAACUGACUUUUAAAUAAAAUAUGAUUUUUAGCUUUAAAAAAAUUAAGAGACAGUUUCUUAUAUUCCAUUAAAAAAUUCCUAUUAAUCAUGCUCUUAGUUGUUAGGCUUUUAGGUUGAGAGUAUAGGUCGCUUUAUGUGUUACAGCUUGAGCACACAUCCAACACUUUUUUAAGCAAAGAGGUUAAGGACCAAACCAAACAUAGGCAUUUUACUAUUAUUGUACAUCUUUAUAUAUAUAAAAGGGUUUGAAUCCCUCCUAGGCCAUCCAGCUCAGCAUCCAGCUAGGAAAGUCGAAGUCUCUGCUUGCGACACGUGUCCAUGCCUCUCUCUCCGCUGCGUUUCAUUAAAACGAAAGGGACACGAGUUGGGCUUUGUGUCGUGCCAUGGGCUUUUUUUGGCCCUUCGCUUUGUCAACCUUUUUUAAGGUCGUGGCCAUUCUUGCGACAACGGAAUUUCAAUUAGGUUAAGGAGGACGACUUUUUCUGGUCAAUCUCCGGCGUAAGCCGUUGUAGUGUCGAACCGAUAGGAUUUCUUCUCUCUUGCAAUGGAAAAUCAGCAACUUAACGGAACUCAAACCGGAUUCAAUCAAUGUCAUUAAAGUUUUCCUUAACUUCAUCUCCCCCACUCCUUCCAUGAUUCUUCAGCUCCCACCUAGCUUCCAGUCGGUGAAACUACAUAUAUAAAUAGGAAGCCCGAGACUUCACGGCGGAAGAUAAUCGUCGAAAAGGAGUGCGGCGCAGUAGGAGGAAGAAAGCGGCGGCGAUGGAGGAGAGAAAGAGGAUGAAAGCGGUUAAGAAUAAAGAGAAAGCCUUUGAUGAUAAUGAGGAAAGGUAUUAAUGGUGAGUUGGACGGAGGUUUCUGCAUAAAGUAGGCCUUUCUGACCAUCUCUCUCUGUUCUUCUCUAUUGGUUUCAAUUGGUCGAUCUAUCAUAGGUAUGCUUUUCUUUUAUCGAUGUGUCUGUGUGUCACGUUAGGUAUUUCGUGAUGCUGGUAGCUUUUAUUUAAGGAAUUCCUUGAUUUAAAGGCUAUUUCAUUGGCUAGCUUGAAGCAUUUUUAUUUGCCGGUGGUUUCAGAGUUUACCGGCGUGUUUCUAAGUCGGUGGUGAACGUGUCUUUUGCAUAUGUGUGUUGAGAGUUCUUUUUGGGUUCUUUAGGUUAUGCUUGAUAGUUGAUACUGUGGGACCUGAUUUGCAUGGUAUCAACAAUUCUGAGAAAGCUAUUGUUCUUCUGAAGAAGCCUCUUCUGAAGUCCUUCCCGUUAAUUUAUUGCCAACGUCCAUUCUCUAUGAGAAUGAGUUGAUAUUAUAUAUCUAAUCAAUGGUUUAGUUUGUUUGCUUUUAGUUAGUUUAUUUUAAAAUUCUUCUUUUUAAGUUUCAUAUCAUGUAUAUGUAGUUCCUUAUUAUGUUUAACCAGGGAAGCUUGAAGAUCAUCAACCACCACCCCUACUUCAAAUAGAGUUACAAAACGUAGACAUAUUCUCAGUCGUCGAUAGGUGCUCAGGAGGUGGUGACGGUGAGAGAUCAGCUGGAGAAGAAGGAGCGAGAUCCAUGAUUAUCGAGUGAGAGGAGACAGAGCCAGAGAUUAACGACGCACAAGCAGGUUAGAAUAAACAAACCUUUGAACACUAUCUACAAUAUGACAAACCGUAAGAAGAGCCUAUGUAGUUUGUUGGAUAUAAAACAAUAGCUUGAUCAAUUUCACUGAAACCAAAACAACUAAUUUACGACUUAGAGACUUUGGACCUUGGAGUGAAGACCAGAUCUCCAAUCGAAAUCAAUGGUCAGAAUCGUCUCCGCUUAUGAACGACGGGGCCGAGAUUCACACGUGUAACUAACCACUGUUCCCGUAAGGAUCAAAAGCAAAAUCGAGCUUGCAAGAAAAUCCAUAGCAAUACCAGUGAGAGAGAGACCAGAACUCAGAGGUUUGUCCACUUUGGGUCAAGAUCAGAGAGAUAAUACAAUCAUUUUUUGCAAUGUGUAAUCUUUUUAUUCGUGUACAAACGUCAACUUUGCUUAAAUGAUUAUCUUUCCUAUGCCAUUAGUCGGGUUGUA